rnacentral:rRNA from 1 species
GGGAGGCAGCAGUGGGGAAUAUUGCGCAAUGGGCGAAAGCCUGACGGAGCGACGCCGCGUGAGGGAUGAAGGCCUUUGGGCUGUAAACCUCUUUUUUCANGGAAGAAAACCUGNCGGUUCUUGNGGAAUAANCCNCGGCUAAUUNCUUGCCACCGGCCGCGGUAAUAC